rnacentral:rRNA from 1 species
UACGGGGGGGGCAAGCGUUGUUCGGAAUUACUGGGCGUAAAGGGCUCGUAGGUGGCCAAUUAAGUCAGACGUGAAAUCCCCAAGCUUAACUUGGGAACUGCGUCUGAUACUGAGUGGCUUGAAUCCGGGAGAGGGAUGUGGAAUUCCAGGUGUAGCGGUGAAAUGCGUAGAUAUCUGGAGGAACACCGGUGGCGAAGGCGACAUCCUGGACCGGUAUUGACGCUGAGGCGCGAAAGCCAGGGGAGCAAACGGG